rnacentral:rRNA from 1 species
GACGAACGCUGGCGGCGUGCUUAACACAUGCAAGUCGAACGGAAAGGCCCUGCUUUUGUGGGGUGCUCGAGUGGCGAACGUGUGAGUAACACGUGAGUAACCUGCCCUUGACUUUGGGAUAACUUCAGGAAACUGGGGCUACUACCGGAUAGGAGCUCCUGCUGCAUGGUGGGGGUUGGACAGUUUCGGCGGUUGGGGAUGGACUCGCGGCUUAUCAGCUUGUUGGUGGGGUAGUGGCUUACCAAGGCUUUGACGGGUAGCCGGCCUGAGAGGGUGACCGGCCACAUUGGGACUGAGAUACGGCCCAGACUCCUACGGGAGGCAGCAGUGGGGAAUAUUGCACAAUGGGCGGAAGCCUGAUGCAGCAACGCCGCGUGCGGGAUGACGGCCUUCGGGUUGUAAACCGCUUUCGCCUGUGACGAAGCGUGAGUGACGGUAAUGGGUAAAGAAGCACCGGCUAACUACGUG